UGUGAUGAAGAUUUUAGUCAUUUGAACAUUCGAGAUGUAUACACUACUCAAUGGAAAUUCGUUCAAGUAUUAGCUGAACAGUUUUGGACUCAGUGGCGUUGCGAGUACUUACAAACGUUGCAAUCUCGACGAAAAUGGCAACAAACUCAGGAGAACAUUAAAGAAGGUGAUACCGUUAUUCUCAAGGAUGGUGAUCAACACAGAAACCUUUGGCCAAUAGGACUUAUUGAACAUAUAUUUCCUAGUAAAGACAAUUUAGUUAGGAAGGUGUUAGUAAGAACAAUCAGAGAUGGACAAGUUCGUGUAUAUGUGCGACCAAUCACACAGACUGUUCUUUUGUGUCGCAAUGCAUUGUAAAAGACUGAUAUUAUUGAGUUUUUGUCUGUAUUAUUGACAUUAGUUAGUUAAACUAAUUUUUGAGGGUUUAUAUGUAUUGAAG
rnacentral:lncRNA from 1 species